rnacentral:rRNA from 1 species
UACGGAGGGAGCGAGCGUUAAUCGGAAUUACUGGGCGUAAAGCGCACGCAGGCGGUUUGUUAAGCUAGAUGUGAAAGCCCCGGGCUCAACCUGGGAUGGUCAUUUAGAACUGGCAGACUAGAGUCUUGGAGAGGGGAGUGGAAUUCCAGGUGUAGCGGUGAAAUGCGUAGAUAUCUGGAGGAACAUCAGUGGCGAAGGCGACUCCCUGGCCAAAGACUGACGCUCAUGUGCGAAAGUGUGGGUAGCGAACAGG